GACCAGGUGGCCAAGUGGUUAAGGAGAUGAACUGCUAAUCCAUUUUGCAUUGCACGCAUGGGUUCAAAUCCCAUCCUCCUCC
rnacentral:tRNA from 1 species